rnacentral:rRNA from 1 species
GAGUUUGAUCAUGGCUCAGAUUGAACGCUGGCGGCAUGCUUUACACAUGCAAGUCGAACGGUAACAGGGAGCUUGCUCCGCUGACGAGUGGCGAACGGGUGAGUAAUGCGUCGGAACGUGCCGAGUAGUGGGGGAUAACGCAUCGAAAGGUGUGCUAAUACCGCAUACGAACUGAGGUUGAAAGUGGGGGACCUUCGGGCCUCGCGCUAUUCGAGCGGCCGACGUCUGAUUAGCUAGUAGGUGAGGUAAAGGCUCACCUAGGCGACGAUCAGUAGCGGGUCUGAGAGGAUGAUCCGCCACACUGGGACUGAGACACGGCCCAGACUCCUACGGGAGGCAGCAGUGGGGAAUUUUGGACAAUGGGCGCAAGCCUGAUCCAGCCAUGCCGCGUGUCUGAAGAAGGCCUUCGGGUUGUAAAGGACUUUUGUCUGGGAGCAAAUACCCGGUGUUAAUAGCGCCGGGGGCUGAGAGUACCAGAAGAAUAAGCACCGGCUAACUACGUGCCAGCAGCCGCGGUAAUA